GCGUCAUUUCACCACUCAAGCCUCGCUUGGUAAUGGGCGUCCGCGGCGUUCCCGCCGCGCGCCCCAAUGUCUCCGGCUGAGCCGUCCGUCUCUAAGCGUUGUGGUCUAUCUAUCCGCUUCGGAGCGCGGGCCGGUUUGCGCCGUUAAACCCCCCAUCAAAGGUUGACCUCGGAUCAGGUAGGGAUACCCGCUGAACUUAA
rnacentral:misc_RNA from 1 species